AGCCCUUAAAUAUAAAUUAAAGGUGAAACCUGCCCAAUGGUCAACAAGUAAUUUUCUUAACCUAAAAAGAAAAAGACUAAAUGGCUGCAGUAACUAUGACUGUGUGAAUGUAGCAUAAUCAUUCGCCACUUAAUUAGUGGAUAGUAUGAAUGGUCAAACGAAAAUUUCUCUGUCUUAUAUAAUAAUAAGAAAAUUUAAGUUAUAGUCAAGAUGCUAUAUAAAAUUGUAAGACGAAAAGACCCUAUAAAGCUUAACUAUAAUCUUUUAAAACACCAAACAAAAAUUUAAUAAUCUUAAAAGACAGGUAGUUUCAUUGGGGCGAUGAUCUCUAAGAAAAAACAGAGAUAAACUAUAUUAAUAAUAUAAUUUACUGUUUAAUAAAUUUAUUUAACAGUUACAAAGUAGGUUAUAAAGACCCAUUAUUACUAAAAAAAAAAGAAUAAUGAUCAAAAAAUAAAAGCUACUUUAGGGAUAACAGAAUAAUCUUUUCUAAGAGUUCUUAUCGAAGAAAAAGUUUAUUACCUCGAUGUUGAAUUAAGAUAACCUAAUGACGCAGCCGUUAUUAAAGGUAGGUCUGUUCGACCUUUAAAAUCUUA
rnacentral:rRNA from 1 species